rnacentral:rRNA from 1 species
UACAGAGGUGGCAAGCGUUGUUCGGAAUUACUGGGCGUAAAGGGCGCGUAGGCGGCCUUGUAAGUCUCGUGUGAAAGCCCUCGGCUUAACUGAGGAUCUGCACGGGAUACUGCGAGGCUCGAGUUCGGGAGAGGAAAGCGGAAUUCCGGGUGUAGCGGUGAAAUGCGUAGAUAUCCGGAGGAACACCAGUGGCGAAGGCGGCUUUCUGGACCGACACUGACGCUGAGUGCGCGAAAGCUAGGGGAGCAAACGGG